UACGAAGGGUGCAAACGUUGCUCGGAAUUAUUGGGCGUAAAGCGCACGUAGGCGGCUUAGCAAGUCGGAAGUGAAAGCCCUCGGCUCAACCAAGGAAGUGCUUUCGAAACUGCUGAGCUUGAGUACUUAAGAGGAUCGCGGAAUUCCCGGUGUAGAGGUGAAAUUCAUAGAUAUCGGGAGGAACACCAGUGGCGAAGGCGGCCCGCUGGGCAGUGGCUGACGCUGAGGCGCGGACAGCGUGGGGAGCAAACAGG
rnacentral:rRNA from 1 species